UCCUACGGGAGGCAGCAGUGGGGAAUAUUGGGCAAUGGGCGCAAGCCUGACCCAGCAACGCCGCGUGAAGGAAGAAGGCCCUCGGGUUGUAAACUUCUUUUAUCAAGGACGAAACAAAUGACGGUACUUGAUGAAUAAGCCACGGCUAACUACGUGCCAGCAGCCGCGGUAAUACGUAGGUGGCAAGCGUUGUCCGGAUUUACUGGGUGUAAAGGGCGUGCAGCCGGGAAGACAAGUCAGAUGUGAAAUCCCGCGGCUCAACCGCGGAACUGCAUUUGAAACUGUUUUUCUUGAGUACCGGAGAG
rnacentral:rRNA from 1 species